rnacentral:miRNA from 1 species
CCGGAAGAGACUUACGGAUCAACU